CAUGACACUGGGGAAGGACAUCUCUUUGGUGUCCUUCUUGUCCCCUGCCGUCUGUAAAAUGGGAAACCACCUACCUUGCAGGGUCGCUGUAGGAAGAGGUGAUACAGAUAAAGCGCUUGGCCAAAGAAGGUCGUGAGCCCCAGCUGGCCCCAGGGGACAAGGAUACUCACUCCAGUCCCUUCGCCUGGCUCAGUCCAAGUGGUGACCUCUGCAGCAGGCUUCCUGGGAGCAUCCUCCCCUUGCUGACCCCUGCCAGCCCCCAUCACUGUCCCAACCUUCCUUGCCUCCCAGACAAACCAAGGUGACAGUUGUCCCCCGCUGGCUCUGGCCUCGGUUCUUGCUCUUGCGGGUUUCCUUGGGGUGUUGGGACCAGCUGGGGUGGAGACACCCCUGUGCUGCAGUCCCAGCCAGGCUCCAGAGCAGGCAGAGACCUCCCCUGCCGUUCUUUGCUUGUUUCAAGCUGGAGGGACAAUCCAGCUGUGCCCACCUGGAGGGGUGGUCUCACCCCUGGAUCCCUCUUUCAGCACCAUCAUGCCAAAUGGGACACUGACUUCAGCUAUUAGCCUCAGUCUCCUCUGUCUCCCCCAAGCAGCACCCUCCACCCAUGCCCUGACUCUGAAGUCUCAGCAGCAGCCUGGGGUGGGAGUAACAACUGGGACGUCCAGCUGACCUUGGUCUCCCUGGUGCUCAAUUGAACCACCAGCGCAGAGGCCUUCCCAAAGACAGGACUCGCCAGUCCCACCUGCCCUGGGCUUUGCAGGGUCUGCAUGUCAGAGUCCCCAGCCUUGAACUCUAGGCCCCCAGAUCAAUCCCUCUUGGUUUUGGCUCACAGCUGAAUGGGGCUUUGAGGGGGCAGGAGCUAGAAACCCCUGCAAAGCUCCGACCCCUGGCUCCCAUUCAUCCACAGGUGCGUGGCGUGCGUGCCUACUGCGCAGGAAUGGUGGUGGCUCUUCUAGGCAACAUUUGUGACACGCUGGCUCCUGUCACCUGCUUUGCCUACAGAUGCCAGCUCACUGGGGUCUUAUAUGGUGGGGCUGGGAGGAAGGAGGUGGGCCUCAAAGGGUCCGUUCCUUAAGUGUUGGCUUCAAGAUGGCCCCAACUAUGGGGCACAGAGGUCCUGGGAGCUGCCAAAGGGCAAUGUACUCUAGAGUCAAAGUCACUGGCUGGUGACAAGGUCAAACCCAUUCCACCCGCCUCCCCCACAGCGAAUACCCUGGAGAGAAAUGCAUUCUUGACUUUCCUCAGAACUCAUGCCUGGCGUUCACCUGGAACCAAGGCCAUUGCUCGGCAGUGGCCCUUCCCUCUAGAAGCCCUCCUUCCCCGUCCCCUCCAGCAAGCCUUCCCCUCACCGCCUUCCCUGCCUCCACCGCCUCUGGAACCCGCAGACCGGACUCCAACAGCUCGCCUGUGGCUUUGCGGUCACUCUUUUCAUUUAUUGCACAAAUCGCAGAGUCUCUCUGGCUCUGGGAGGGCUGGAUCGUGGUUAUCGGUUCAUCCUUCCUAUCUUUACAGAACCCAGCUUUCCUGACAUAGCAACAAUCCCAUCCCUGUCCUGGUUCCAGAGAAUUCCAAAGAUCUGCUUUGCUCUUCCCGACAACUCAUCUAGGCAACCUUUGUGGCUGCUAUUAACAGGGGGUGGGAACUGCAGGGGAGAUGGGCCAAGGAUGACGCUGGACCCACAUCUAACAGACAGGAGGCCCUGCUGGCAGGGAGAGAGGAGAUAAGCAGCCGAUGGUGAUGUUGGAUUGAUAACGUGAUACCCGCAGGUGGGAUUUUCAAAGUGUUUUUAUGUCACAGACUCAUUUGACCCAGGGAGGGAACAAGAAGCAGAUGAAUCCACUUUGCUGCUGAGAACACUGAGGCUCCGUGACCUUCCAGAGCCACACAGCUAGCAGGAGGCCCUGCCUAGCCUGUGGAGGAAGAUCCGCUCACUGCAGGAAAAAACUGACAGGCGAGGCUCCCGGGGUUCCAGGAGAGAGGGGCAGGUGAGCCCAGGGGCAGGAGCCCACCCCCCAGCCCCGCCACACCGAGCCCUUCAAGACAUCUGGUCCCAGCAUCCCCUGCCUGCUGUCCCUGCCUUGGCAGCUGCCCACGGGGCUGGGGCCGGCUCCAUAAAAUCAAUAGUUGGUUGGCUUGAGCUGGCUGAGUCUGCCCCCCGGAGCUCAGGUGUGACGGCAAUGAAUCUCGCUAAUGGCAGGAGGUGACCGUUCCUUCUCUUUGUGGCCUGGAGACAGGUAUUUCCAAAGCUCCUGCCCUGGCUCAGGCAAACACACAUGACCUCUCUUUUCUUUCCUGGGCCCUGGGUAAAGCAGAGUAGCCAGGGACAAAGUGGGGUGAACCAGACAGAGCUGGAGAGCUCCCUCCCACCUCGUCCUGCCAGUGCCCCUGCCAGCCUGGGAUCCCGGCCGGCACAGCCCUCCCUCCCUGGAGGAGGGGACAAGUGUCUGGUGACCUUGGGGUAUGUGUCAGCCUGGCAUCCCCUUCCCCACCUGCCCUCCCUGCUGCUGGCACACUGCCUCAGCCUCUUCCGAGAACAAUCUGGCAAGUUCUAAAAUCUACAAACUGCAAAAAACCCAGAGAGAUGGGAGGGCCCCAGCCCCUGAAGGCCCACGAGGCAAACUGACCUGUUUUAAUAGUGGUGUUAAAUACCUCCACAGGGAAUAGCUGGAAGGAGUCACUGAGACGAGGGGACUUGGCGUCCAUUUCUGGGAAGUGGCACCUCAUGGUAUGGCAACUCUCCCAUUCAGCCAAGUUACCUUUGCCACAUCAAACCAAGUCUCAAGUAGAAGCCGACUUUUGUGCUUGGAGGCUGGGAGAAUGCAGGUUGGGUCCUUCCCAGGGGAUACACACGAGAAGAGAGUGCACUCUGACACCUGAUGACGUACCCGGAGCACAGUUAUUCUAACCAGGACCCCAUUCUUGAGGUUGGACAUCACAGUAAACUGUUUGGUUUUUGACUCAUCAUUGGAGGCCAUUAUCUUAAUGCUACCCUGAUAUGGGAGUGUUUCCAAGUUGUGCCUGGGUGGCAGCCGCGCUGGUGCCCUAGGAGGCCGGGCGCGGGCCAGGUGGAAGCACGACUCCCCGUGCUCACUGAGUGCAGGUGGGGACACCUUGGUGUGUCACGGAUUGGACUGUCCUGUUGUCCUUUUCAUACCUCGGGAAGAGCUCCUCGGAGCAGGAACUGUCCACUGGAAAAGCUAGCCCAGUACUCCUGCCUCACGGCCCUGCCCAGCUCAGUGAGGACAGGGAUGGGGACAGGGAUGGGGACAGUGGAGGACCCGGGCACAGAGCAGCUCACCUUCCCUCGGGAGGCUGCUCCUCAGUUCUCUGCUUUCUGGGGCUCCGCUGCUGGAAAGAAAAACAGACAGAUGGGGUGAAGGACCCCCUCCGGAGGGCAACCCCUGCAGAAGGGGCGCCUGUGUCCCACACGUGGGAGUCCCAGUCACACAGAGUGGGUGUGAUUUCCUGCUCUGCUACUUGCUGGUUAGGGGAACCUGGGCCCCUAGACCUGGGCCGUAGGACGUGGUAGUGGGGCCUACCUCCUGGGGCUACGUGCACUUAUGUGAGAUGACGUCUGUGCCCGACAAGAAGCAGGUGCUCUGUAAAUAGCAACUGUCACUAGCAGUGGCCUGUUUGGUGCAGGUAAAGGAGCAAUGUCACAGAGUCCUCUCCUGGCACUGUGGGAGCUUGUCUGGAGGGCCCUCAGGCCAUGGGUCCUAGCAAUAGUCCCUCCUGGGCCACACAACAACCCUCUCCUGUCCCCUCUGUUCCACUGGGCAGGUGGUCAUGGACAGUUACCGUUUGCAGUGAUGAGGUUCUCCACCUGGGCUUCCUCGUCCCCUGGAGCCCUGUGGAAAAGAGACACAGAGCCCCAUCAGAGGUCUCCAGGCAAACCCAGGAGCAUCAUCACGCUGCUUGCUGGAGCAGGGCCACCUGGGACCUGUCCCUCCAAGUCCUCUGAGCACUCUCUACGGGGUGGAGGGAAGAUGGGACUGAAAAGCACAGAGUCAGAAAGAACUUACAGGCACCCUUCAGCCUCAGUCCCCAAGAGAAGUAAGUACUAGGAGGGGUGGCCCAGGGCCAGGGGGGCUUACGUGUGCCCUGCCACAGAAUCUGGGCUUCUGAGAACCAGAGCUGCCCUUGGACAGGUUGGGAGUUUUGUGGGAAGACAGGAAGGCCCCAUGUCCAUGCAGCUCACGGAGCCUUACAGAGAGGUGAGCGGCAGGGACAGAGUCUUGGGUCCUGUAGAAAGGACCUGGGACUCAAGAGAGACCACGAGGCCCUCUUCUUCCCUUGUCCCGAGCCCAGCUAUUCCAGAGGGCAAUAGUCAAUAGUUUCCAGCACCUUCUAUCCCACCCCUGCUCCCCCAUAUAAGUCACUGGCUGAGCGUCAAGGUUUUGGCCUCUUUUUUGCCCCUAAGUCAACUGUAAUUAUCAAAUUGAUAUCCGUACACCCUCCCGCACAUACUCUCCUUCCAGACAAGAGUCCAGGAGAAUACCCGUUGAGGUCAUACACCAGGGAUCCCUCCCUGUCCCUCCUAGUGUCAUCCCAGAUGGCCACGGGUGUGGCAUCCUUACCGGGGCUUCUGAUUGAAACUGCACUUGCACCUGCGACCUGAAAGGCAAAGAAAUCAUCCAAGGUCACGGUCCUGGCCUGGCCACGCCACAGUAGAGCUGCCCUGAGGCCAUACAGGAUGCAGGACUAUGUUCAUGGUCCCUAGACUUGGGCAGUGCACCUUGAACAGCUGUAUGCUGAAACCCUAGACUGGAGCAGGGUUCCUCGGAGGCCAUGGUUGUACGUUCCACAGCUAGAACGUGGCCACACCACCACCGUGCACUUGACUGUGGACCUGCGAGGGCACUGUGCAGACCAGGCUUGUGUGGAAAAAAAACAAACACAGGGCCAUGUCCCUUGGAGCCCACUGGGGACAGCACCUGUCUCCUUUCUCCUGUGACUGUCCUGCUCAUGCCCAAUGGAUACAGGACUGGGACAGCCACCCUGCCCAUUCUUAUCUAUGCUUAUAUUCACCUACAUAGUCUUUGUUCAUGCUUAACUAUUUUACUGAGCACUUACUUUGUGCCCAGACCCAUGCCCAGCUCUGUAUUAGGUCCUGGAGAUGAGGUGGAGGCCAGAGUCAGAAAGGCCAGGCCUUAUGCUGUUCCCACCUGCUUAGCAGCCACAGAAAACAAGAAAUGAACUUACUUAGGAUAAGAAGGAUCCCAACCGAGAAGAGGACCACAGCAAACACCAAUCCUCCGAUCCUCAGGGUCUGGUAGUCUGCCAAAGGAACCAGGGGUGAGAGAGGGAGAAGAGGCAGGGCACCAGAGCAUGCCUGUCCCUCCCUGGAUGGGACUGCGCCUCACUCCCCCUCCCUACACCCAGGGUUGCUGAGGCUGCUCACCAUAAUGAAAAGGGUCCUUUUCUUUCUCCUGCUCAGCUGCUGCAAAAGUAAACAGACAUGGUCAAGACAGCUGCACACGCUGGACUGCCUUGUCUUAACUCACAGAUCUCAGUCCCCACAGAGAUUCCUGGGAAUGACAUACUGGGGAUGCGUGAGUGGAGGGCCUGCUGGGGUCAAGGCCAACCUGAGGGCCAAGGCCAGGUACAGCUCAGAGCUGGUGAGCCCUGCAUUUAGACUUCUUCUUUUUCUUCUUCUUCUUCUUUCCCCCCUUGCAUCAUUCCCCAAAGGUAGGGUCGGUCAUCCUUUUGUGACAGAGGGGGAAACUGAGACCAAGGAAUAAGGCCAGAACUGGUUAGUUAUGGUCCAGAUCCUACAGGCAUGUUUUUAAGGUUCAGCCCAAAAGUCCUGAGGUGGCUCUGAGGGCUUAAAAGAAAGCAGGUUCAGCUGGACCUGUGAGGGGAAGAGGUGGACAAGGCGGUGACAGUCUGUGAGAAUCUGUCUUUCCCAGACUUUCUCUGCUGACUAAAAAGACGAGCCUCUGAUUAAACAUGAGGGAUCUGAGAGCCCUCCUACCCUCAGGUCCCAAAAGACCAGAAUCUUCCAUGAGAAGGAGCUACGGCUGCCAUCUUAGCAGAACCAACCCCUAGAUGGUACUUACCACUGGCCAGGACUGUGGGAGCCAGCAGGCUGCACAGAAAGAUCAGCACUACCUCCAUGGCGUCUGGGGACAGAGGGAGGAAGAUAUUAUUCCCUAGACUGGAGAAGACCCUCCAACCAUCAACCUGAUCCAGGGUGAGUCAAAUCCACAGUUGUCUUCUGAGCUCUCAAGACCUGGGAGAGUUCAAACCACCUAGGCUGAAGCAGUUAAUAUGUAUCUGACUCUCACAGAAUGCUCUGCAUGCACUGAUUCAAUUAAUAUAACUGAAUUAGAACAAUUAGCAGCUACUACGACUAACCCAUGCUCCAGGCCAAGCACCUGAGGCUCACAGAGGUUAAGUGACACUCAGAGUCUCGGUGGAGAGCUGAGGGAACUGAGUAACUCCUCCGCUGCCCCCAGGGCCAACGCGGUAACAUCACCAGGACUAUGAAGAGGAUCUCAUCAGUGUGCUCCUCUCAGGCCACCCUUCUGUGGCUAUCCCUCGUUCAUUAAGAUGUGGGCCUCCCUGGUCUGGUUCCCACACCCAACAACCCCGUUCAGAAAUUCUUGUUUAUAACAGAAUAGAGGGGGCGGUACAUCAAUGUCCCUCUUGCCCAGCCAGCAGGUAGGGCAGGAGAUUUACUGUUCCCUGGACCUUCUGGUAAGCCCUGCCCCGUGGACAGUCCUCCUGACCCUUCCUGCCUCUCCUCUGAUAAGUCCAAGUUCAAAAUCUUCCCCAAAGGUGGCUUGAUUGUCAAAGGGGAUUUGGAGACUGGCCUCUCCUUCACCAGGAGGUUCAGAAAGCUCUGCUCAGGGGCUCAUUGAGUCCUGGCCUGGCCUCUGGUAGGUGGCCCCAGGAUGGGCCACCUGGGCAGAGGCAGAGAGAGGGCCAGUUGGUCCCACCCAGGUACAGAUUUCAGUAGUCACACUCCUCAAUUAAAUGAUGGUGGUGCAGAGUCAGAGAAAAGGGGAAGGAACCCGACUCGGGAAGGCCCAAGGUUGUUUGCUCUUUUCCAUGUGGGGCGAGACUGGCGGUGGGCUGAAUCCCUGGCUUCUGUUUGCUCUGAGUGUAAGUCACCCAUGACUUUCCCCAGGUCCCCAUCAAGCACCCCUACCUGCCCUUCACUUCUCAGCCACCAGGGGUCAGCACAGCACAUCCAGAGCCCUGUCAAGGCCAAGGCCCUAGACUCGGAGAAGGUGAUUCAAAGUGCAUUUAUCAAAAAGCGAUCAUUUGCUUGUAAAGCUAUCUCACUUCAUAUUUAUAUUUCUUUUAAAGUUUACAUUAUAUGUUACAUGUAUAAAAAUAUCUGUAGCACACUUAUACAAUGAAACAUAGUAUUAAGGUAAACACCCAUAAACAAGUUAAGUUCGGAACAAGAACAUUGCAAAUUCUGCUCUAUUUACCUAUAUUUUCCCCCAACCCAUCCCCCUGUCUCCCUCUCAGAGGUAAUCAGUAUCCUGAAUUUCACAUAUAUUUGUUGUUUUUAAUUUUGUCCUUGUUCUUCUAUUUUAAAAAGCUGCUAAUCAGCAAGAUUUCAGUUCUGCAUGAUGAAUAUGUUCUAGAGAUCUGCUGUACAUUUUUAAUACAGUAUUGUACACCUAGAAAUGUUAAGUGUUCUUACUCCAAUAAAAAUACAUAAUUGGCAUACUAUGAAAUUCACACUUAGAGUGUACAACCCAGUGGUUUUUAAUAUAGUCACAGGGUUGUGCACCCACCACCACCAUUUAGUUACAUCCCCACAGAAACACUAUACCCCAUUAACAGUCACUCCCAUUCCUCUUUCCCCAAGAUCCUGACCCCAUUAGUCUAAAACAACGGUAGACACAUAUGCACACACAAAUGCGCGCAUACACAUGCGUGUGUCUUACUAUUGAUUUCAAAUGGAGUUCUUCAAAUGUUUUGAAAAUUCCCCUCUAAUCUUUCCAGGAUGUUUCUGAUUUAUAUUAAUUAUAACUGCGGGUUCUAUACAUAUGGUUUUUCUCUUUAAUCUAUCCAAAACUGUGAGCUAAAUAAACCUUCAUAUUUUUUAAUAUUUAUUUUUUAGUUAUAGGUGAACACAUAUUUUUAUUUUAUUUUCAUGUGGUGCUGAGGAUCGAACCCACGGUCUCACACGUGCUAGGUGAGCACUCUACUGCUGAGCCACAAUUCCAACCCCUAAGCCUUCAUUACCUGGUGUCAAGUAGUUUGUCAUAGAAACAAAAGAGCCUAAGACAGUAUGGUGGUACUGGUCUCAUGAACAAGUAUUAGCUCUCUUGUCAAUCCCUGGAAGUCUGAAGAAGAUUGGAAUAAUCUAGGUUUAGUAUUUUCUUUGUAGGAAGAUUUAAAUGCCUAAUCAAUUAAUUCACAGUUGUGAAUAUACCUUUGGAUAUUUAUCUUUUCUUGAAUACAUUUACUAUCCAGAUACAUUUAGUAUGAAUUUGCCCUUUUUGCUAUAAAACUUAUUGUUACAAAGUUGUUCAUGGUAUUUUUCUUGUGGCUAUUUUAAUUUCUGUUGGAUCUGUGGCCACUUCCUUUUUUUUUCAUUCUUAAUAUUUCUUGUGACAAUUCCUUUUUUUAUAGAUCAGUCUCACCAGAAUAUUAAUCUUUUCAAAGAAAUUAAUCUUUAUUGUAUGUUUAAAUUUUUUCUUAAUUCUGCCCUCCUAUAUUCUUUGGUUUUAUUCUAUUUUGAUGUUGUUCCUAUUGUUAUCGUCUUAGUAGGACAUCUAGUUCGCUUUUCUCAUUUUCUAAUUUAAGCAUUAAGAUGAUAAAUUUUCCUCCAAGUGACACUUUCACUCUACCAUAUAAGCUUGAAAAUAUGGUGUUUUUUUAAAUGACUGUUCAAUUUUUUGUACUUUAACUUUCCAUUAUAAUUUUUUCACUAUAAUUUCUUAUUUGACCCGUGCAUUAUUAAGAAGUAUUUUUUUAAUGUCCACAUGGAGAGUCAUUUUUAAUUUGCUUUUAUUACUGACUUCUAACUUCAGGGCACCAUAGUCAAAGAAUGUGGUCUGUAUGACAGAUGCCUUCAACUGUGGUCACUUACUAAAAAUACACAUUCCAUGGAUUCUUAGGAAAUUGUGAAUAUCUUCACUGUUGGGAAGGAAGUUCUAUAUGCUCAUUAAAUUAAGUUCCUGGGCUGGAUUGUAGCUCAGUGGUAGAAAGCAGUUGCCUAACCUAUGCUAGGCCUGUAGUUUGAUCCACACAAAUAUCUCUCUCUCUCUCUCUCACACACACACACACACACACACACUCACACACACAAUUAAGACCAUUAACUGCUUAUUUAAAUUUCUAUUUUUUCAUGAUUUUGACUGUUUAAUAUCCAAAAUUGAAAUAGGUGCCUUAAAAUCUACCACAAUGAGAAAGGAUUUAUAAAUUUAUCCCUGUGCUUCUUAACAGAAUUCUAACAGUUUAAAGUUGUUUUAUUAUCUUGUGAUUGGGUCUUUUAGGAUUAUAUAGCAAUUCUGUCUUAAAAUCUACUUUGUUUUCUACCUUUCUAGGGACUUAUGUGUUGUGUAAAAAAAAAAAGCUGCUUUUUUUUCUUUCUUGUAAAUAGAACCUGAUGGACUUUAAUAAUUGUCAGAUUAGCUUCAUUUGCUGUAACUAUUGAUAUAUUUGGACUGAUUUUUGCCAUUUAUUUGUCCCCUAAUUUUCUAGUAAUUACUUCUAUUUUCCUUUUCUUUCUUUUGGAUUGAUUUUUUUUUUCUUAUUCACAUUUUCUCUUGACUGGUUUAGAAACUGUACAACCUAUUUCUGACCUUUUAGUGGUUGCCUUUGGAAUUUCACCUGUGUAGUCAACUUAUCAAAGAUUUAGAAGUCCAAAGGUAAUAGCUAUAAUAAUUAUUAGGCAUAAUACCUUGAAAAAUACAAAACUACCAAUCACCCUUCCUGAUAUGUAUGCUAAUAUUGCAUAAUAUUUGCUUUGUUCUUUAAAAAUCCUAUAAAGUAGGUCUUAGCAUUUGUACUUUGUGAGAGUAGUAUCUCAAUCCACCCACGGUGCAGCAGACAGUUCUCAGGAUGGCCCCCAGUGCCUCCUGGCAUAUGGUUCUCAUCAGCUCCCCCACCCUGCUCCAUGGGUGGCCUAUGUGACCUAGAGCACGGUAGAAGGAAUGGCAUGCUGCUCCCAGUACCAGUCAGGUUGUAAACGCCCCCACCCCACCACCACAUCUUCCCCUUCCCUCUCCCACAUCCCUCAGAUUGCUCAUUCUGGGGAAAGCCGGUUGCCAUCUUAUGGACACUCAGACAACCCUGUGGAGGGGCCCGAGUAGCAAAGAAUCAAGGGCCUCCGUCCAAAAACUUGCUAGAAAACUAGGCCCACCAUGAACCACGAAGUGAGCUUGGAAGUAGAUUCUCCAGGCUUCAGGCAACUGCCUCGCUGGCUGACAGGUGACUGCAACCUCUUUAACCUGAGCCAGAACCGCCCAGCUCAGUUUCUUUGAUCCCCAGAAACCGUGUGAAAUAACCAAUGUUUAUUACCCAAAGUGGCUGAGUUUGGGGUAAUUUAUUAUGGAGCAGUAGAUAAUCAAUGUAACAUAUUUACUAAAUGAUUUGUUGGCCAUUCUUUCUGAAUCUCAACCAUCCUCCAAACUAUUUUCCUUAUUUCUAAAGAUCAUCUUUUAGAAUCUUCUUUUAAAAAGACUAUUUGUUAAAAAGACAAAAAAAAAAAAAAGACUAUUUGUUGAAAAAGCCUCUUUUUUCUGUAUCUAGAAAUGUUUUCAUUUCACCUCUGGGGUGGACAGACCUUAAGGGGAUCCUCAAACAUCCCAACCUGCUAACAUCCAACCGUUGUGUGAACUACCCCUCUUGAAUACACACAGGAGAGGCAACUUGCUUCUCACAACAGGAUAUGGCAAAGGGGAUGGGAAACCACUCAAAUGGUGGCAUUGUGUUCCACAAGACUGGACCAGAGAACUGGAGCCAGAGAACGUUCUCCCUUGUUAGUUUGAAAAAGUAAGCUGUCAUGUGUGAGGGGCCUCUGGAGAGGAGCACACUGCAAGGAAUUGUGGGAUGUCCCUAGCAGCUGUGAGCAGCCCUGAGCCAACAGUCAGCAAGAAAAGAGGGACCUCUGUCCUCUGCUGCAGAGAGAUGAAUUCAGUCAGCCACCUGCAGGAGGCUGGAAGCAGAGCUUUCCCCAGUCAGUCCCUGCAUUGAGCAACCCCAGCCAACACCAAGACUGCAGCUCAGUGGACUUUGAGCAGAGAAGCCGGCUAAGCUGUCCUGAACUUCCAAACAAAGAAACCAUGUGAUAAUAAAUGUGAUGUUUUUAAGCUUCUAAAUGUGGAGCAAUUUGUUAUGCAGCAAUAGAAAACAAAUGCACUUCUAGCCCCGAAAGGCAGUUUGGCCAUGUACGUGAUUCCAAAAAAAAUCUUUUUUUGCUCUGCACUUUGUAGAUGAUAUUCCAUUGCUUCCUGGUUUUCAUUAUCACUAUUGAGAAGUCUGCUGUUCAUUCUCAUUCCUUUAUAAUCAUUCUAUCUUUGUUCUGCCUCAUUUUAAUUUCUUGUCGUAUUUAUGAUGUUCUGGGUUUCACUAAAGUCUAAAUGUUGACUCAUUUCUAUAUUGUCUGUGUGUUCCCUAUUCCUGUAGUCAUCCUUUUCACCAACUAGUUAAAAAACAAAACCAAACACUUCUCAACUCUCAAUCAUUGUCCCUUGAGCUACUACCUCUCCUCCGUUCUAUUUUCUGACACUAUAAUCAGGACUAUGGGGGUGCAGAGCGGCUUGGUGGUUGGCUGGAGUAGCAUCGUUCUUCUGCUGGGGGGCUAUGAUCUUCACUGGGCAGCAGCUCACCACACUGGGCAGAAGAGCAGCUUAAUAUUUUGGCAUUGGGUAAGAGAAAAUGGCCUGAACCAAAGAGACCACUGGUAAGUCCCCUGGUGGUAAACCCACCUCCUACACUGCAAACAGCUGGCCCCCAAGGCUGCCAGGAAAAGCACUUCCUCUACCUGAGGGUGAAGAAACCUCAAGGCUACAGGCCUGGGACCGUGUCAUUGUUUCCAGAAAUGAACCAAUUUUCUCAUCCAUGUUGCCUUUCCAGAGGCUGGUAAGAGAGGUCCUCCAGGAUUUCAAAACCAACUUGAAGCUUCAGAGUGCAGCUACUGGUGCCCUUUGGGAGGCCACCAAAGCAGACCUGGUGGGCCUGUUUGAAGAUACUAAUGUGCGUGCCAUCCACACUGAAAGUACCACCAUGCCCAAAGACAUCCAGUUGGCUCACCAGAUAACAGGAGAGAGAGCUUAGGUGAAGGCCUUAAGUCAUCCAGCUUUCACUCAGGAUGAACACAAAAAGUGACUUUUCACAGACCUCACUGACGUGAGCUCUGCUGCUCCCGGAGUGACAAGUUGCUAACAAGCAGAAUGUGGUCUUUCUUUUUCUCAUGACACAUGCUUUUGUAUGUUAAUGACUUGUUGGGUAGCUAUUAAGGUACUAGAAUUGAUAAAUGUAUACAGGGUCCUUCAGCAAUAAAUAACUUGGAAAAAAUGGAAAUGUGCUUACACAUUCUCAUUCUAUUUUCUAUAUCACUUAACAGGGCUUUCAGUUUUCGCUUCUUGGCUUCUCUGUUACGUUCUGAGUAGCUGUUUCAGAUUUGUUUUCCAUUUUUGUUUCUCCUUUUAACUGUUGAAUCUGCUGUUUAAUGUAUCCAUCUCAUUUUCUGUUUCGGUGAUCACAUUCUUUAUGUCUAAAUGUCCUAUUUGGUUCUUUUAAAGUUGUUUGGUCAUUUGGUUAGUCUUUGUGGCCUAUACAUUUUUACGAUCUCAUUUUUUAAAUUUCUUUCAACAUUUCCUACAUAUUCUAUAUCCUAUAUCUGAUAAUUCCAAAAUCUUAAAUCCUUGGGGGUCUAAAUCACUGUUAUUUCUCUGCCUUUCAAACAGUGACGUCUUGUUGUUUCUUUUUGUGCUCAGUAAUCUUUGAUUUUGAACUCAUGGUUGCUAGAUUUUAAUAUAUGGGAAACCAAUAGCUUUAAAAUGAGAUGUUUUCCUCCAGCAAGUUUGUUUUGCUUUUUUUGUGAACACUAAGAGUGUCAGAUACCAACCUGAGGCCAUUUAUCCCCUCUCCAAGGUCCUGGGCUUAAUGUAGCAAUCUCAGGUGUGGCUUCCCAACCUUGCUGGGCCCAGUGACUAUUAGUCUCCAGAGAGCAAUUGUGUCGAUUAGCAUUCACUCUAACAGCAAAAGUGCUUCAAUUCUGUUUGCACUUUACGUAUUUUACUGUUAGUUUUAUAACGCAGGUUUUUAGUUUUUUGGUUUUGGUUUAGUUUUUGACCUUUCAGAUAGUUUAGUCCAUGGAGAGGUGACUGAUGAGUGGAUAUUUCCCUUCCUUCUUGUUCUGUAGUAACAAAUCUGAGAUCGAUUGUUUUAUAGUGGAAAGUUCCUUCAAUGAUUCAGGCAAUCUUUGUCCUAAAUACAUUUUUCAAAGUAUGGCAUAAAAUAAGUUUUGUGCAUCUGCUAUGAAUAAAAAAUCGAUGUCUAUUUCUAUUUA